rnacentral:lncRNA from 1 species
AUGUGCAGAAGCCUCUGGCUAGCUGUAAUAGCUAUGGAUUCUAGAGUUGCUGCUGGCACCUGGGGAGUAUUCCUGCUCAAUCCCUCUGCUUCCACCACUCUCCAUCUUCGUAGUGGCUGCCUUCUUUGGGCAGCAGAGAGGAAGGAUGAGGAGAUUUUUGAUGACAGGAAUUUGUCCAGCAAGGAUGAGCAAAUGAACAGAGACUUGGACAGUGGAAAAUAUCCAUUAAGAGGAUUCUGGUUAAAAAACAAAAAAACAGCUCAUCUAAAAAUAAGCCAGGAUUGCAGACCUGAGGAGUUGUUUGAUGAUGGCUAUUAAAAAAACACACACAAGACUGCUAUGAAAGCUAUAGACCACGUGAGUAAAAUAAACUUUAAAUCCAAAUUGCAAGAAAGCCGGUGUAAUUUACACUGGGGUAAAAUGCACACUGGAUGCAAUUUGCCUGUAUUCCAAAUUCCAUUCAGCAGUGGCUACUAUUGGCUGAGCUGGCCUCAGCCUGGCAGAGGAAAAGCAAGCCUUUAAAAUGCUACACUUUUUGCCAGUGUAACUUCUGGCAUUUUGCUAGGUCAC